rnacentral:lncRNA from 10 species
AGGUGCUGUAAGAAAACUGCCCAUGGCUCCUUUCCCAGCAUAAUAAGCAGAAACAUUGAGGAUGCCAUUGGAAUUAGUGUCAAAAGUGACUUCAAUCUGAGGAACACCUCGGGGUGCAGGAGAGAGCCCCACCUGGAAGACUCUAGGUUCUCAUCUUCAUGCCCCGAUGUAAGGAGAGUGGUCCUUCUGUACAUCAGGAGUCUGAAAUGCAUCUCACUGGGCUAAAAUCAAGAUCUGUGGCACAUGGAACCACAUGUGGGACAAGAGACUAAUAAAGAUGUGACCUACUCACAGAGGCUUCAGGUGUUUUGCGAAGUACAUUGGCUUUUAUUCAACGUGCAGUGGGACUCCAACUAAAGUGUUUCAGGAAGGUACAACCUACAUGACAUGUUUUUCCUAAAGACAAUGCCUCCACUCCGAGUAAGUCACAGUCAAAGUAAAUGAAGAGCCCAAGAUGACAUCAGUUCCAUUUGUCGCACGGCCCUUUUGUGAUCUCCUGGUUCUUGUAAAUCUCACUGUGGCUGAUGAGGUCUGGAUAGAUAAUCAUGAUGGUGGCUGAAGAGAGACAAUGGUGGUGCUAGGUUACCAGUGGCGUGGAGCUCAGAGCUAAUGCAGAGCAGCUGGAGCAGUGCUGAGUUUCAAAACGUGUUGGAAAAAAUAUUAUAUGAAUGAUGCUAUUUUUUUCACUGAAUCACAUCAAGAAGCACAUGAUGUUAAGCUGUCUCAUCAUUGGUGGUGUUAACUUGGAUCGCUUGAUUAAGGUGAUGCCUUUCAUAUUUAUAUACUACAAAGUUAGCCCUUUUUAAUCAAUAAGUAAUCUAUUCAGAGAUAAAUGAGAACUGCAUAAAUAUCUUGGUAACAAACAAGUUUUACCCAAUAUUGUUUUCCUCCAUUGAUGAUUCUUGCCUUAAUCAAUUAUUACCAUGACAGUAGCAAAAUAGUGAUAUUUUAGUUAUCAUUUCUUGUACAUGUAUUAGUUUUACAUAGUAAACAAAAGCGUUUCCUCCUCUCAUUUUCUCUUUCUCUCCCUUCUUUCCAUCCAUUCUUCCUUCCUUUCUAUUUCUGUCUGUCUCUGUCUCUGUCUCUGUGCCUCUCUGUCUCCUUUGCCCUUCUCAUUGUCCGUUUUUAUUUAUAUUUCUUAAUGUGUGGAUUCAUAAACUAUUCUUUUCAAUUGCAUUAUAAUCUGUUACUGUCAUUUUUUAUUGUACCAGAUUUAGCGAGUAUGAGCUAACAAUUUCUAAUUUUAAUCCAACAUUUUAAAUCACAUGGUCUUCUUCAUCUUCUCUGUUUACAUAUUCGUAUUUACUUCCUUUCACAAUCAUAAUCUUGCCUCCCUCCCCCAAAGGAAUAUAUUUUCUUCUAUGGGACACCAAAGAUAAUAGAUUUUAAUUUAGUUUUAGAGUUUUCCAAAAUGUUUGUUGAUUUAAUUUUAUUUUUGAUUAUGUAUUAAUUGAACAUGCUUCCAGUUUUCAAAAUUAUAUGAAAUGAUAUAUACAGAGAAUUGCCACUCAAUCUUCUCUUCUUCCCAUAUUAUUGUCACUUCUUGCCUGUGGUUAACCAAUUUCACUGGAUUCUGGUUAUCCUUGCGUUUAUUUUUUAAAAUAUGUAAGUUAUAUGUUAUUAUAUAUGUUUUUCCCUUAAAAUUUUUCCUGAUAAUCCAUAUCGGGCCAUAGAGAUCUCCUUUAUUACUUCCUGCAUAGUAAUCCAUUGUGUAUAUAUAUUAGGUUGGUGCAAAAGUCGUUGCAGUUUUUGCAAUUACUUUUAAUGGCAAAAACUGCAAUUACUUUUGCACCAACAUACAUCGUUUAGCCCGAGAACUACUCACUCUGGGUCUCCUCUCCACUGAGGGCUGCACACAUGCCGGGAUGACCUGCCUGUGGAAAGGAGCUACAACUUCAGGUCUCCUGAGAGCUGUAGGAUUUGUACCAUUUUGCUUUCCCAUUAGCAAUGUGUAGGAAUGCCUGUUUCCCUGUAGCCUCCCCAACAGCUUGUGUUAUCAAGAUUUUGGAUAUUUAACAAACUUGAAGAGUCACCCAGAAUUGGACAGAUGACAAGACAACCGGACUGCAGGGAGGAGCUACCCAUUCAAGGUCUCCUCUCCAAUGAGGGUUGCAGAGAUGUUGGGGCAAUUUGCCUGCAGAUAGGAGCUACCCACUUGGGAUCUCCUCUCUGCCGAGGACUACACACUUGAUGGGAUGACCUGCUUGUGGAGAAGAGCUACCCACUGUGGGUCUCCUCUCAGCUGAGGGUUGCACAGAUGCCCAGACCACAUGCCUGUGGAAAGGGGAUACCCACUUUGGGUCUCCUGAGAGCUGUACUGCCACUCAAUAAAGCACUGCUUCACCUUGCUCACCCUCCAGUUGUCUGCAUACCUCAUUUUUCCUGGAUAUGGGACAAGAACUUGGGACCAGACAGACAAAUGGCAGGACUAAAAGAGCUGUAACACAAACAGGGCUGUAACCCCCACCCCAACACCACUGGCCACAUUGUGGGUGACGAGAAGGAAAGAAGUAGAGAAGAGCUGCAGUUCUUUGGGGAUUGCAAACCUAGGAGCUCCCUGAGCCAGGGCUGUGAAACCUUCUUUAGGGCUCUGCAUUUCCGGGCAUCAUCUCCAAGCUUCCAGGUGCCACCGCAUUCCCUGGUUCCUGAGGCAGAAGCUACUUGUGAUACACUUGGUCUAGCUACAGCCUUGCAGGGAGCCGGAGCCUGUGCCAGUGCCUGGAGCUGCCCACCCCACCACAGCCAGCGUGCCUGGCCGUGCGCGGUGGCCGGACCCCACUUUUGCUUCUUCACACACCCCUCACCACUCUGCGCUUGGCCCAACCUUGGCAGGCAUGGGAUCCGGGUGGUAGCGAAAGCCGAGUGCAGCCUGUCAGGCCCACUGGGUGGAACAGGCUCAGCAGGCCCAAGCAAAACUUGGGCAAAGGUGCCACUGGCCAUAGAGGUUGCUGGCUGGUGAAGCAACACCCUAAGGAACCUGGGAAACAUGUAUGGCUACAUUUAUAUUUUACACUCAGAAUUCUAAUUCAUUUGGAUUUUUUUUUUUUUCUGUGUAGAGGGAAAAGUGUGAAUCCAUUUUUAUCAUUAUCUAAAUGACUGUUCAGUUGUUCCAACAUGCUUUGAUAAAAUGUCCAUAUUUGUCUCUGUGAUUUGAAAUGACUACCUUUAUCGUGUAGUAAAUUUUACUAUGUUCUUGGCUGUUGUAUUUUCUAUUAUAUUCCACUGGUCUGUUAUUUCUUUACCAGUAUAAAUAACAUGGAUUCAAUUGCAGAAACUUUAUAGUAUGUUUUAAAAUCUGGUGGCACUAUUCCUUUCCUGUUGCUCUUAUUUUUAUGGGUUGUCCUACGUGUUCAUGCAUAUUAUUUUUCACAUGAACAACUCCACAAUAGUUGGAGAAAAAAAAUCUUCCUGGUAUUUUAUUAGAGUUGCAUUAAAUUUAUGCAUAAACUAAGAGAUAAGAGAGACAUAACAUCUUGUUGACAUUGACACAUCAUAAUCAAGAACAAGCAAUGUCAUUUCAUUUUUGCACAUCUUCCUUUUUGUCUUCCAGGAGAUGCUAAUCAUUUUCCUUAUAUAGUUUUUAAAUCGUCUUCCCUUAGUAUUACGUAGAUUGUCAUUAUUUUAAAGGCUAAUUCUGACAGCUUCAUUAUUUGGCAUCUUUGUAUUGUGCAUAUUUUUUCUUGAUUUUAGAUCAUUUGAUCUUGAGUCCUAGUGUGUUGGUUA